CUUGGUCAUUUAGAGGAAGUAAAAGUCGUAACAAGGUCUCCGUUGGUGAACCAGCGGAGGGAUCAUUACCGAGUUUCCGAACUCCCAAACCCCUGUGAACGCACCUAUCGUUGCUUCGGCGGGACCGCCCCGGCGCCCUCGUGGCCCGGACCCAGGCGCCCGCCGGAGGACCCAAACUCUUGUUUUAACAUCAUUGUAUCUUCUGAGUGGCACAAGCAAAUAAAUCAAAACUUUCAACAACGGAUCUCUUGGUUCUGGCAUCGAUGAAGAACGCAGCGAAAUGCGAUAAGUAAUGUGAAUUGCAGAAUUCAGUGAAUCAUCGAAUCUUUGAACGCACAUUGCGCCCGCCGGUUAAUCCGGCGGGCAUGCCUGUCCGAGCGUCAUUUCAACCCUCAAGCCCCCUCGGGGGAUUGGUGCUGGGGAUCGGCCGUCACGGGCCGGCCCCGAAAUCGAGUGGCGGUCUCGCCGUCGCCUCCUCUGCGUAGUAGAAACACCUCGCACUGGGACGCGGCGCGGCCAUGCCGUUAAACCCCCGACUUCUGAAAGGUUGACCUCGGAUCAGGUAGGAAUACCCGCUGAACUUAAGCAUAUCAAUAAGCGGAGGA
rnacentral:rRNA from 1 species